rnacentral:tRNA from 1 species
UAAAUAAGAAGCAAAAAAAAAAUUGCAUUUAGUUUCGACCUAAAAAUAUGAUUUAUUAAUCCUUAUUU